GACAGAGGUGGCAAGCGUUGUUCGGAAUUACUGGGCUUAAAGGGCGCGUAGGUGGUGAUACAAGUCCGGGGUGGAAGUCUGAGGCUUAACCUUAGGAUUGCCCUGGAAACUGUAUUACUUGAGUCAGACAGGGGAUGGCGGAAUUCCCGGUGUAGCGGUGAAAUGCGUAGAUAUCGGGAGGAAGGCCGGUGGCGAAGGCGGCCAUCUGGGUCUGAACUGACACUGAGGCGCGAAAGCGUGGGGAG
rnacentral:rRNA from 1 species